AUUGAACGCUGGCGGCAGGCCUAACACAUGCAAGUCGAGCGGAUGAAGGGAGCUUGCUCCUGGAUUCAGCGGCGGACGGGUGAGUAAUGCCUAGGAAUCUGCCUGGUAGUGGGGGAUAACGUCCGGAAACGGGCGCUAAUACCGCAUACGUCCUGAGGGAGAAAGUGGGGGAUCUUCGCACCUCACGCUAUCAGAUGAGCCUAGGUCGGAUUAGCUAGUUGGUGGGGUAAAGGCCUACCAAGGCGACGAUCCGUAACUGGUCUGAGAGGAUGAUCAGUCACACUGGAACUGAGACACGGUCCAGACUCCUACGGGAGGCAGCAGUGGGGAAUAUUGGACAAUGGGCGAAAGCCUGAUCCAGCCAUGCCGCGUGUGUGAAGAAGGUCUUCGGAUUGUAAAGCACUUUAAGUUGGGAGGAAGGGCAGUAAGUUAAUACCUUGCUGUUUUGACGUUACCAACAGAAUAAGCACCGGCUAACUUCGU
rnacentral:rRNA from 1 species